AAAAAGGGCGCUCGUCUUGCACGUCCUCCUUUUGGGGUCCAACCCCGCGUGCAGACGCAUUGCGGUGGCCACGUUCACCUUGCAUAAAUUAGAAGUUUGAUGCUCAGCGCUCAAACUCCUACUUUAUUCGAGCGGCCUGGACACUCCAGUGGGGUAUGGCUUUGCAUAUCCAGCGUAUAAUUUUUGUAAAGCGAGAUUCGUGCAGCCUAAAAUGCAUUGCUCUUU